rnacentral:rRNA from 1 species
AUGGAGGCAUAUGCUAUCAGAAGCGCGACAGGGUGGACGCCAUCACCUCCUCCCCAUCCCCGGCCUCCUUCCGUGACGCAUCCCGCAGCGGCGCCCACCGCGGCGCCUGCCGGCCGCCCUCGCGGCUGGCUGCUUGCGCGGCAACGACGGCGGUCUCGUCGUCCCCGGAGGCCGCGGUGCCUCAAGGCCGACCUGGCGCCCCCUCCUCGCCCUUCCGCCACCUCUGAUCUGGGGUUCGGUUUGCGUGCAACGGCGGUGGCGUACGAGGCGAACAAGCCGCUGGUGGUCGAGGACGUGCAGGUGGCGCCGCCGCUGGCCGGCGAGUCUGCGUCAAGGUCCUCUCCACUGUGCUCUGCCACACCGUCUACUACACCUGGAGCGGCAAGGAUCCCGAGGGCCUCUUUCCUUGCAUUCUCGGUGACAAGGCUGUUGGCCGCUGUUGCAGAUGAUGAGCCUUUGGUUGUUCCGCUUGAUUGUGAAUGGAUAUGGCACUGCCAUCGGCUUAACUCGACUCGAUACAUAAAAGACCGCAAGAGAUUAUAUGGCAGGAUACUGGACCCUAACAUUGUCAAGUCUUCCAUUCAAGCAAAGUCCAAGGAUCGGUCCAAGAUGGAAUUCUUAAUCUCGGCUGAUUCCAGAUUCUGCCAAGUGCUAGCUAGCUCCAAAAGCAAAUGUCUUCAUUUGGAAGAUGCAGCAUUCUAUCAGAAUCCAUUCUCCUGCUCUUUUUCUUGUACUGAUUUGAUUCGGUACAAGGGGUUCAUCGUGCCAGGCUCCUCUUUUCUGCUGCUUCCAUGCAACGGUGGUAGCGGUGGUGCUGUUUGGCAUUGGCUACAAAAAACACCCACGAUAUCUGAAGGUUGUUCACCCAAGUGCUGCGCCUUUAGGGUCAACCCCACGGUGAAUUUAGAUGGCGGUCAUUUGGUUUUCAAGGGGGUUUCGUUUAUGAUAGCCAUGGAGCAGGAAAACCGGCAUGCUACUAAAGCUAAGAUGGUUAUGAGAAGAUAUGCUGCUGGAAAGAUGCUCUUAGCAAACUGGAAGGGCUGCAACCAAAUCCAAUCGACAACAUGGCAGUGGUCUCUGAAUAUCUAA